UUAUUGCUGGCGUCAACCAGCAUUCUGGCAAAGGAUAUUCAGUUACUUAACGUAUCAUACGAUCCAACGCGUGAGC
rnacentral:tRNA from 1 species